ensembl:lncRNA novel transcript
GGCUUUCUGGUAUGGCGCGGCCUUUGUCUCUUGCUGCCGCUGGAGCUCCAGAUCUCUUGUUCACUGCUCUGUGUUCUCUGCUCAUAGAGGCCCAGCCUCUGAGGCCCUUUGACCUGCAGGUAUUGGGAGAUCCACAGCCAAGAGCCAGGACCCCCUAGAAGUCUAGAAAUGGGGCCAUUGCAAUUUACAGAUGUGGCCAUAGAAUUCUCUCUGGAGGAGUGGCAUUGCCUGGACACUGCACAGCGGAAUUUAUAUAGGGAUGUGAUGUUAGAGAACUACAGACACCUGGUCUUCCUUGGUAUUGUUCUCUCCAAGCCAGAACUGAUCACCUGUCUGGAGCAAGGAAAAAAACCUCUGACCGUGAAGAGACAUGAGAUGAUUGCCAAACCCCCAGAGAUGGAGUCUCGCUCUGUCACCUAGACGGAAGUGCAGUGGUGCGAUCUCAGCUCACUGCAACCUCUGCCUUUUGGGUUCAAGAAAUUCUCCUGCUUCAGCCUCUCUAGUAACUCGGAUUACAGGUGCCCGCCAAAACGCUCAGCUAAUUUUCUGUAUUUUUAGUAAGAUAGCGUACAUUAUGUUGGCCAAGCUGGUCUCAAACUCCUGACCUCAGGUGAUUUGCCCACCUUGGCCUCCCAAAGUGCUAGGAUUACAGGCUUAAGCCACUGCACCUGGCCUGUGUUACAUAUUUUGUAUAUAGAUAUAUAAAUGAGGAACAUUAAUAACAUUUUAAAAUAAUGACUACAUCUUUGUUUUCCACCAACAACCAACAUGGGUUUCAUUUUUAUUGCAUCAUCAACAGAGUUGGCAUUUUUUAAAAAAUAUAUAGUGGCCAUUCUAAUGGGUGUGAGAUGAUUUCGCUGUCAUUGUGUUUUUUUUUCAUUUCUCUGCAAAUGAGUAAUUUUGUGCAUCCUGUCAAAUGUUUCUUCCCAUUUGUGUAGUUUUUUGAUGAAAGUUUUGUUUGUUCAUUUAUAAAUCAAGUUAUUGAACUUUAUGGUUUAGUUUUUAGAGUUGUUGAUAUAUUUUUAAUAUUAACUUUUUUCACAUGUAAUUUGCAAAUAUAUUCACCCAUUUUCUAAAUAUGUUGUCAUUCUCGAAUUUUCUUUUGAUGUACAGAAAUUUUGACAUCUACUAUAGUUAAUGGUUUCUAUUCUUGUAUUUGUUGCUCAUGCAUUUAAUGUCAUAUCUAAGAAAAUGGUGCCAAGACAAUGUCAUGUCUUUUUCCUGUAUUUUUUCUGAAAGAUUUGUUAGUUUUUUGUGUCUAAGUAUUUUAUUUAAAAUAUAUUUUUGUAUCAUUCAAGAAAAUAAUCCAACUUUAUUUUAUCGAUGUUGAUAUUCAGUUUUCAACACCAUUUUUUGAAGAGAUGAUUUUUCUCUAUUUUGUACUCAUGGCAACCUUUUGGAAGAUCAUUUGAUCAUAUACAGAAGGGUUCAUUCCGGAGCUCUCUAUUCUGUUCUUUCAUCUGUUUAUCUUUGUGUCAGUAUCACAUUGUUUAUGUUACUGUAGCUUUUAACUGUAGGUUGUAUUAACAUCUUUGAAAAAUAAAGUUUUUUGACCCCUGAGCAA